UGUCCAAUGCGGGAAUCGAACCCGGGUCGUAGUGGUCGAAAGCCAACGGUUUAGACCAUCCUUCCACCAACCCCCGGC
rnacentral:tRNA from 1 species